AUACGUAGGGGGCGAGCGUUGUCCGGAAUUAUUGGGCGUAAAGGGUUCGCAGGCGGUCUGAUAAGUCAGAUGUGAAAGGCAAUGGCUCAACCAUUGUAAGCAUUUGAAACUGUCAGACUUGAGUUAAGGAGAGGAAAGUGGAAUUCCUAGUGUAGCGGUGAAAUGCGUAGAUAUUAGGAGGAAUACCAGUGGCGAAGGCGACUUUCUGGACUUAUACUGACGCUGAGGAACGAAAGCGUGGGGAGCAAACAGGAUUAGAUACCCUGGUAGUCCACGCCGUAAACGAUGAGUGCUAGGUGUUGGGGGUCAAACCUCGGUGCCGCAGCUAACGCAUUAAGCGCCCCGCCUGGGGAGUACGGCCGCAAGGCUAAAACUCAAAGGAAUUGACGGGG
rnacentral:rRNA from 1 species